UGAGGAACAUGACCUUCGCGGGGAGUAGCCGGCCCAACGGCCGGGUAAUACCGCGUACGACC
rnacentral:rRNA from 1 species